UACCAGCACCCCGAGUGGUCGGGACGAUUAUUGGGCCUAAAGCAUCCGUAGCCGGUCAUGCAAGUCUUCCGUUAAAUCCAGCCGCUCAACGGUUGGGCUGCGGAGGAUACUACGUGGCUAGGAGGCGGGAGAGGCAAGCGGUACUCAGUGGGUAGGGGUAAAAUCCUUUGAUCCAUCGAAGACCACCAGUGGCGAAGGCGGCUUGCCAGAACGCGCUCGACGGUGAGGGAUGAAAGCUGGGGGAGCAAACCGG
rnacentral:rRNA from 1 species